CCUCUGGUUACAAUAAUACUCCUCGCGCUCGGGAGCUCGCGGGGCACGGAAAAUGUGACUUCACCGCUCAAGGAUUUUCUGCUCUAACAAAACGGCGCUGGGGAGAGAGAAAGAGAAGGAAUGUCCAUCCCUGAUGCAGCCUAGGAGCCGAAGCCCCCAGAGGGCCCGGCGGAGACGACAAGUGACCCGGCUGUUCCCCGCCGGCCGGUGGGCCUGAGCGAGCGGGGAGGCAAAGGCCCCCUGAAGACACGUGUGCGAGGCAGGAACCGCACGCGGCCUGCCUUGCCAUUCCCGGAUCUAAUUUAUUAUUUCUGCACGUGGGUGCUUGAGCCCGUCUACUUCCUUGCUCCAGAUGCUUCCAAUGACGGGCUCUGGGCUCCGGCCGCCCAGGUCAGCAUCCUGGCUCUGCCGCUUGCUAGCGUCUUUACUUCGGGUGCUGGACUUCACCUGACUAGCCUCAGCUUGCGCAUCUGUCAAAUGGGGACGCUGCAGCACGACACUAAGCAGAUGAUAUGCCCAAAGGGGGCUCAGGAGCAGACUGUAGGCACUCGAUCCCCCUGGGGGGCUGUUCUCAUCGUCAUGCAUCCUCGCACCUUUCCCGAGAAGCCCCACGAGCUGGUGCUGGACCCCGGGGCACGACCCCCAGGCUCCUGCGGUCUGGGGAGCCAGUGUCCUCCCAACCAGUGUCUGACCCCAAGGUAGGGCCACUUGGAGACUGGGGUACCCUUCCCCAUGGUUCUUCCGGAAACCUGCUCCAUCCAGAGGGAUGCCAGGGAGGGAGCUGAUCAGCUUCCCAGGAUGCCCCCAGUCCUUCCCAGGGUCACACUGGCUCAGGCCUGAGUGGGGCGGGCCAGCCCUGACUCGGGGGUGGGGGCUGCCGGUGGGCAGUGGGAAAGCGCGUGUAAAGGCCCAGGGGCUGGGGGCCCUAGGGCCGGGGGGCCGAAGGGUCCGCGGCUCCGCCUGGCCCCAAGUGAGGAGAGGAUGCGCAGACCAGGAGGGGCGAGUCCCGGGGCCACGUCCAG
rnacentral:lncRNA from 1 species